rnacentral:rRNA from 1 species
CGUGGGUAACCUGCCUUAUAGUGGGGGAUAGCCUUUCGAAAGGAAGAUUAAUACCGCAUAAGAUUGUAGUAUCGCAUGAUAUAGCAAUUAAAAGGAGCAAUUCGCUAUAAGAUGGACCCGCGUCGCAUUAGCUAGUUGGUGAGGUAAUGGCUCACCAAGGCGACGAUGCGUAGCCGACCUGAGAGGGUGAUCGGCCACAUUGGGACUGAGACACGGCCCAGACUCCUACGGGAGGCAGCAUG